UACAGAGGGUGCGAGCGUUGUUCGGAAUUACUGGGCGUAAAGCGCGCGCAGGCGGCUUCUUAAGUCCAUCGGUGAAAUGCCGGGGCUCAACCCCGAGCCGGCCGAGGAUACUGGGAGGCUGGAGACGAGUAGAGGCAAGCGGAAUUCCGGGUGUAGCGGUGGAAUGCGUAGAGAUCCGGAAGAACACCGGUGGCGAAGGCGGAUCUCUGGGCCUUACCUGACGCUCAGGUGCGAAAGCUAGGGGAGCGAACAGG
rnacentral:rRNA from 1 species